AGAGAGAUGGCUCUGGUAGCGGUUUGCUGAGCGUUUUGGCAUCUUGUUAUGGUUGCAGUCAUUGUCCUUGGCGGCAAAGAUGACAGCAGAGUCGAAGGAAGGGCCAUAAUCUCCUCACAACUGAUCAAUACAAAGCAAUACAAAAGGACAAAAAUCAAAAUCAGAUGAGUUAAGGAGCUCUGCCAAGGGGCACAGCCUUGAAGGUAAGGAGUUUGGGGGCAUUUCCACAAAAUAAGGGGGUAAAAAUAGACCUACCAAAGUGUGAGCUGGUCACCUCUUCCCCACAAACCUACUAUGCCAGAGUCAGAGUGAGGGCUAGGAGAAUCUCUAAAUUCUCAGGGGCCAGAUGAAGGCACCAUAGUCUUACCCAUGAG
rnacentral:lncRNA from 1 species